rnacentral:rRNA from 1 species
UAUUAAUGUUGUUGCAGUUAAAAAGCCCGUAGUUGGAUUUCUGCUGGAAGCGUCCGGUCCGCCCCUCACGGGGUGUGUACUAGCGUCGUCUUUUGGCAUCCUUGUGAAGAGCCGUUCUGGCAUUAAGUUGUUGGGAUUGGGGACUCACAUCGUUUACUGUGAAAAAAUUAGAGUGUUUAAAGCAGGCAAUUGCUGUGAAUACAUUAGCAUGGAAUAAUAAGAUAGGACUUUGGUGCUAUUUUGUUGGUUUGUACACCGGGGUAAUGAUUAACAGGGACAGUUGGGGGUAUUCGUAUUUCAUUGUCAGAGGUGAAAUUCUUGGAUUUAUGAAAGACGAACUACUGCGAAAGCAUUUACCAAGGAUGUUUUCAUUAAUCAAGAACGAAAGUUAGGGGAUCGAAGAUGAUUAGAUACCAUCGUAGUUUUAACCAUAAACUAUGCCGACUAGGGAUUGGCGGACGCUGUUUUAUGGCUCCGUCAGCACCUUAUGAGAAAUCAAAGUCUUUGGGUUCCGGGGGGAGUAUGGUCGCAAGGCUGAAACUUAAAGGAA